UAAUAAAAUAAAGAAUUUAAUAUAAUGAUGAAUUAUGAAGACGAGAUGUUGGAUAGUGCUUUUGACGAUGAUAAUUAUGGUAAUGCAUUAGAAUCAGAAACUCAAAUCCUGGUAUGGAAGACGUUAAUUAAUUUAAUGCAACCAAAUUUAAUCUUGUACCAGAAGAAACACAAAGAAUACAAUAACAAAAGCAUGAAGAUGCAAAUAUGGAAAAAUAUUGGUGCAUCCUUGACACCGCCAAUGACUGGAAUUGAUGCAGAAAAAACAUUUUAUCGUUUACGUCAAAAAUUCGGAAAAGAGCGCCGGAAAGUCAUACAGUCGCAGGCAAGAUCCGGCACAGGGGCAAAUCAUGUGCCAUAUAAUCUAAUUGGACAUUAUACAAAGACUAAUGUUUCUGGCUGAUCAUAUUCAACCUAGACAGACAUCAUCAAAUUUCCAGCCUAUUCUAAAGCGCAAGAAAGCUAUAGCUUCGCAACUGUUGCAUUUUAGCAGCUCACAACUUGCCAGCUCACAGCAUUCCAGUUUACAAUGUGCCACACCGACACCUGCAAUAUAUCCAUCCAUAUGUAUCCCGCCAAUAACUUCUGAAGAAAACACAGAUGUAAUAUGAAACUGACUUGUGCGAAUCUUUAGAUUCAGAAUUUUUCGCUGAAAAUGAGAAAGCAUCUGUCGUGGAUUUCAUGGAGUCGUCUUCUUCAGUGUCACUUUCUAACUCAUCAAUUUCACAAGGUAUUGCAUCCACAAGCAUGCAAAAAACCAUAGUUUCUGCUAUCAUACCGCAAAGACUGACACCACUGGCAGAUAGUACUAAAAAGAGAAAGCGACAGACAAGUGAUGAAGUGGAUGCAGCAAUACUAGAAUCAUCCAAAAGCAUCUCUUCCUUGGUCAACUCAUUAGAAAUUGCACUGAAAAAAAAUAUUACGUCAACAGCAUUACAAUCUGCAAAAUCAGAAUUAUCUACUGCAAUAGAAAACAUGGAGUGGUAUAACCUUAGGAUUGAGCAAAGUUCAUGAAGAACAUCAAAUGGAUUGUUUUAUAUCGAUCCUUGCUUGCAUUAAUGACUUUAUAAAGAGAUGAAACUUUUAUGAAUUUUUUAAUAUGCAUAAGAUUUUUUGACUAUUUUUCUUUCCAUAAAUGACUUGAUUGCUUUUG